AAUGAACGCUAGCGGUAGGCCUAACACAUGCAAGUUGAACGCAUACUGUUACAGUAUAAGUAGCAAACGGGUGAGUAACGCGUGAGAAAUCUACCUUACAAUCUGGGAUAAAAUCCCGGAUUCUUUCUAAACUAGAUGUUCCGACAAAUAGUAUAGAAUAAAAGAUUAAAUGUCGUUGUAAGAUGUGCUCGCGUAGGAUUAGGUAGUUGGUGAGGUAAAAGCUACACCAAGCCGAAGAUCCUUAGCUGGUCUGAGAGGAUGAUCAGCCACACUGGGACUGAGACACGGCCCAGACGCUUUCGAGCGGCAGCAGUGAGGAAUUUUGGACAAUGGGCGAAAGCCUGAUCCAGCCAUAUCGCAUGAGUGAAGAAGGCUCAAUUGGUUGUAAAGCUCUGAUUUGAUUGAAGAUUAUGACAUAAGAUCAAAGAAGAGUCCCGGCUAACUUCGUG
rnacentral:rRNA from 1 species